UAACUCGACACAGCCGGACAUUUCUCUGUUCUCAGCUGAGGUGGACAGCAUAGCGCUGCAGUUUCA